UAAGUAGGGGGCGAGCGUUAUCCGGAUUCACUGGGUGUAAAGGGAGCGUAGACGGCCAUGCAAGCCAGGGGUGAAAGCCCGGGGCCCAACCCCGGGACUGCCCUUGGAACUGCAUGGCUGGAGUGCGGGAGGGGCAGGCGGAAUUCCUGGUGUAGCGGUGAAAUGCAUAGAUAUCGCGCAGAACCCCGAUUGCGAAGGCAGCCUGCCGGCCCCACACUGACGCUGAGGCACGAAAGCGUGGGUAUCGAACAGG
rnacentral:rRNA from 1 species